rnacentral:tRNA from 1 species
GCCGCGUAAGGCGGCAGAUCUAUCAGAUUUGCAGGUUCUUCCUGCUACUUGGCCGCGGUUUCCUAAACCGCGUGCGCUGGUUCGAUUCCGGCCGGGGGCA